rnacentral:rRNA from 1 species
GAUGAACGCUGGCGGCGUGCCUAAUACAUGCAAGUCGAGCGAACAGAUGAGGAUCUUUCUCCUCUUCCGUUGGCGGCGGACGGGUGAGUCCCACGUGGCUACCCUACCUAUAAGACUGGCAUCCCUUCGCGACCCCUGAUCUCAUACCGGUUCAUAUCUUGAACCGCAUGGUUCAUUGGUUCUCGCCGUAUUUGCUGUCCCUUAUACCUGGUACCGGGCCGGAUUAGCUAAUUGGUAGGGUAAAGGCUUACCAAGGCGACUCUGCGUAACUGACCUGAGAGGGUGAUCAGUCACACUGGAACUGAGACACGGUCCAGAAUCCUAAGGGAGGCAGCAGUGGGGAAUAUUGGACAAUGGGCGAAAGCCUGAUCGAGCCAAGGCGCGUGUGUGAAGAAGGUCUUCGGAUUGUAAAACACUUUUAGUUGGGAAGAAAAAAAGUAAGAAAAAACCUUGCUGUUUUGACGGUACCAAAAGAAAAAGCACAGGCUAAAUUAGUG